UACGGAGGGUGCGAGCGUUGUCCGGAAUCAUUGGGCGUAAAGCGCGCGCAGGCGGUUCUCCAAGUCAGUGGUGAAAGCCCGGAGCUCAACUCCGGAACUGCCAUUGAAACUGUUGAACUUGAGGACGAGAGAGGUGAGUGGAAUUCCCAGUGUAGAGGUGAAAUUCGUAGAUAUUGGGAAGAACACCGGUGGCGAAGGCGGCUCACUGGCUCGUUUCUGACGCUCAGGCGCGACAGCGUGGGGAUCAAACAGG
rnacentral:rRNA from 1 species